GAGGGUACAGAUCAGGGUUAGAGCGCGUGCUUAGCAUGCACCAGGUCCUGGGUUCAAUUCCCAGUACCUGCA
rnacentral:tRNA from 1 species